rnacentral:rRNA from 1 species
UUGAACGCUGGCGGCAUGCUUUACCCAUGCAAGUCGCACGGCAGCGCGGGCUUCGGCCUGGCGGCGAGUGGCGAACGGGUGAGUAAUGCAUCGGAACGUGCCCAGUAGUGGGGGAUAGCCCGGCGAAAGCCGGAUUAAUACCGCAUACGACCUGAGGGUGAAAGCGGGGGACCGAAAGGCCUCGCGCUAUUGGAGCGGCCGAUGUCGGAUUAGCUAGUUGGUGGGGUAAAGGCUUACCAAGGCGACGAUCCGUAGCUGGUCUGAGAGGACGACCAGCCACACUGGGACUGAGACACGGCCCAGACUCCUACGGGAGGCAGCAGUGGGGAAUUUUGGACAAUGGGGGCAACCCUGAUCCAGCCAUGCCGCGUGCGGGAAGAAGGCCUUCGGGUUGUAAACCGCUUUUGUUCGGGAAGAAAUCCUCUGGGCUAAUACCCCGGGGGGAUGACGGUACCGGAAGAAUAAGCACCGGCUAACUACGUG